GGAAGGAUCAUUAACGAACUGUCAAACACGGGUUGUUGCUGGCCCCCAAACGGGGCAUGUGCACACUCUGUUUACACAUCCACUCACACCUGUGCACCCUUUGUAGUUCUGUGGAUGGGGAGACGCCGUCUUCCUUCUGUGGCUCUACGUCUUUACACACACACCGUAGCAACGUCUCAUGGAAUGUUUUUUUUCGCGUUUAACGCAAUACAAUACAACUUUCAGCAACGGAUCUCUUGGCUCUCGCAUCGAUGAAGAACGCAGCGAAAUGCGAUAAGUAAUGUGAAUUGCAAAAUUCAGUGAAUCAUCGAAUCUUUGAACGCACCUUGCGCCCCUUGGUUAUUCCUCGGGGCAUGCCUGUUUGAGUAUCAUGAACACCUCAACUCUCACGGUCUUCUGUGAUGAGCUUGGACUUUGGGGGUUUGCUGGUCCUGUGGCCGGCUCCUCUCAAAUGAAUCAUCUUGCCAGUGUUUGGUGGCAUCACGGGUGUGAUAACUAUCUACGCUCGCGAUCGUCUGCCAGGUAACCCUCAGCGAUGAAGGUUCAUUGGAGCUCAUAAACGUCUCUCCCCAGCGAGGACAGCUUUUGAACGUUCGAUCUCAAAUCAGGUAAGACUACCCGCUGAACUUAAGCAUAUCAAUAAGCGGAGGAAAAGAAACUAACAAGGAUUCCCCUAGUAACUGCGAGUGAAGCGGGAAGAGCUCAAAUUUAAAAUCUGGCGUGCCUCUGGUCGUCCGAU
rnacentral:sRNA from 1 species